AGAGUUUGAUCAUGGCUCAGGAUGAACGCUAGCGGCAGGCCUAAUACAUGCAAGUCGAACGGUGUCUUCGGACAUAGUGGCGCACGGGUGCGUAACACGUAUGCAACCUACCUUACAUUGGGGGAUAGCCUUUCGAAAGGGAGAUUAAUACCGCAUAAGACAGUAGCUGGGCAUCCAGCAGCUGUUAAAGAUUUAUCGAUGUAAGAUGGGCAUGCGUCCAAUUAGUUAGUUGGCGAGGUAAUGGCUCACCAAGACUUUGAUUGGUAGGGGAACUGAGAGGUCAAUCCCCCACACUGGCACUGAGAUACGGGCCAGACUCCUACGGGAGGCAGCAGUAGGGAAUAUUGGGCAAUGGACGCAAGUCUGACCCAGCCAUGCCGCGUGCAGGAUGAAGGCGUUAUGCGUUGUAAACUGCUUUUAUACAGGAAGAAACGACUCUUGCGAGAGGCAUUGACGGUACUGUAUGAAUAAGCACCGGCUAACUCCGUGCCAGCAGCCGCGGUAAU
rnacentral:rRNA from 1 species